rnacentral:rRNA from 1 species
AACGAACGCUGGCGGCAGGCUUAACACAUGCAAGUCGAACGCGUGCAGCAAUGCACGAGUGGCGCACGGGUGAGUAACGAGUGGAUAUCUGCCUUUUGGUUCGGAAUAACCCCGGGAAACUGGGGCUAAUACCGGAUGGUCCCUACGGGAUAAAGAUUUAUCGCCAAAAGAUGAGUCCGCGUCCGAUUAGCUAGUUGGUGAGGUAAUGGCUCACCAAGGCGACGAUCGGUAGCUGGUCUGAGAGGACGAUCAGCCACACUGGGACUGAGACACGGCCCAGACUCCUACGGGAGGCAGCAGUGGGGAAUAUUGGACAAUGGGGGCAACCCUGAUCCAGCCAUGCCGCGUGAGUGAUGAAGGCCUUCGGGUUGUAAAGCUCUUUUGGCGGGGACGAUGAUGACGGUACCCGCAGAAUAAGCCCCGGCUAACUUCGUG